UACGUAGGGUGCGAGCGUUUGUCCGGAAUUAUUGGGCGUAAAGAGCUCGUAGGCGGUCUGUCGCGUCGGAUGUGAAAACACGGGGCUCAACCCCGUGCCUGCAUUCGAUACGGGCAGACUAGAGUUCGGUAGGGGGAGACUGGAAUUCCUGGUGUAGCGGUGAAAUGCGCAGAUAUCAGGAGGAACACCGAUGGCGAAGGCAGGUCUCUGGGCAUUAACUGACGCUGAGGAGCGAAAGCAUGGGGAGCGAACAGG
rnacentral:rRNA from 1 species